rnacentral:rRNA from 1 species
GAUGAACGCUCGCGAUAGGCUUAACACAUGCAAGUCGAGGGGCAGCAUGGUCUUAGCUUGCUAAGACUGAUGGCGACCGGCGCACGGGUGCGUAACGCGUAUGCAACUUGCCUCACAGAGGGGGAUAACCCGUCGAAAGACGGACUAAUACCGCGUACACUCCAUCUUGGGCAUCCAAGGUAGAGGAAAUGAAAUUCGCUGUGAGAUAGGCAUGCGUCCCAUUAGCUAGUUGGUGAGGUAACGGCUCACCAAGGCGACGAUGGGUAGGGGAACUGAGAGGUUGAACCCCCACACUGGUACUGAGACACGGACCAGACUCCUACGGGAGGCAGCAGUGAGGAAUAUUGGUCAAUGGGCGAGAGCCUGAACCAGCCAAGUCGCGUGAAGGAUGACUGUCUUAUGGAUUGUAAACUUCUUUUAUACGGGAAUAACAAGAGUCACGGGUGACUCCCUGCAUGUACCGUAUGAAUAAGCAUCGGCUAACUCCGUG